rnacentral:rRNA from 1 species
GCGCGAAACUUUCGCAAUGCACGCAAGUGUGACGAAGGAACUUGGAGUGUCUUCUCCGUUUUGGAGGAGACUUUUGUCAAGUGUAAAAAGCUUGGCGAAUAAGGGGUGGGCAACACAGGUGCCAGCCGCCGCGGUAAUACCUGGGCCCCAAGUGGUGAUCGCUUUUAUUGGGUUUAAAGCGUUCGUAGCCGGCUUGUUAAGUCCUUAAUGAAAUUCGGCAGCUAACUGUCGAAAUUGUUGGGGAUACUGGCAGGCUCGAGACCGGGAGAGGUCGAGGGUAUUCUCGGGGUAAGGGUAAAAUCUUAUAAUCCCGAGAGGACCACCUGUGGCGAAGGCGCUCGACUAGAACGGAUCUGACGGUGAGGGACGAAAGCUAGGGGAGCAAACGGG